UACACGCAAGAGCCCACCAGAGGCUGCAGGAACUGAAGGCCAUUCUUAGAAGCUUCAACGCCAAUGAAAGCUGUAGGUGUUCUCAGUUGAUACUCUGCUUUUUCUUUUAUUUAAGACUUUCUCCUGAUGUAUGGUUUUGUUGAGGAUGCUGGACAUUUGUUGCAUUUAACCUGAAAUCUACCAAAUUAGUCCUAAUUUUCUCUCUCUCUUACUUAGCUUGUCUUAAUUUUUAAACUGUUUGCAUGUUAUCUCUCCUAAAAAAUUUAAACUUAUGGAAAUAGAAACAUUUUAAUAUGACUUGUAAUUUAGUGUUUCUUUUGACAAAGUAGUACUGCAAAUGCUUUUAUAAUGUAUUUAAAAAUAUGGCUGAGUAAUGCAGAAUUCAUGUCUUUAGUUUUGCAUUAUAACAGUAUUGAGUAAGAAAUGCACAUGUAAAGAGUAAUUGUAAGUCAUGUAAGACAUGUAAGUCUUCCAAGUUUUAAUUACCUAUCUAGUCUAUUAUGAACUUUAGAAAGCAAACUCUAGUAUUUCAUGCGCUUCUCUAUUUACUAUUCUUACCUCCCCCCAUGCUCCCCCCCACCCCAUACAGGGUAUCACUAUAUAACCUAGACUGGCUUCAAAUUUGUGGUCUUUGCUACUUCAGUUUCUCAUUGCCCAAGAUAACAGGCAUGGACCAGUAUAUCCAACUCCUUCAAUUGGUUUUGACCAUAGUUACCUUAUGUUCAAAGUUCAUAGUGUAAUAAAAGUAGAAACUAGUAGUAGGGGAAGUACAGAGCCUAGAUCACUCCAUUACACUCCCAGAAAAUUGACUUCUUAGAUAUGUACUAGUAAGUGUAGAUUAAGGUCAUUUUGAUAAAAGAUAAAAACUCUGCCCAUAGCAAAGAUAAUUUUGAAAAAUGGACAGUACAUAUUCAAGAAUGCUGUGUUCUCUUGAAUAGUUAGAUAUACUAGUUAAUAACAAUGUACUUGUAGUAUGUACUUUAAAGUAGCUACAAAUGAAGUUUUUGACUGUUCUCAUCACAUAAAUACUAAGGUGAUGGAUAUACUAAUUACUGACUUGAUCAUUGCACAAUUUAUAAGUUAUUGUAAUAUCACAUAAUCUAUAAUAUAUAAUUAUUUUGUCAGCAAAACAUUCAAGGGCUGGCGAGAUGGCUCAGCAGUUAAGAGUGCCGACUGCUCUUCCGAAGGUCCUGAGUUCAAAUCCCAUCAACCACAUGGUGGCUCACAACCAUCUGUAAUGAAAUCUGAUGCUCUCUUCUGGAGUGUCUGAAGACAGCUACAGUGUACUUACAUAUAAUAAAUAAAUAAAUCUUUAAAAAAUAUUCAAUGAAAAUUAAAGAAUAGAUGUGAAAAGUAGGACUGACAAGUCAAUAUUAAUGCAUGAAUAUAUUAAAAAUUUUUUUUAAAUUAGUAUGCAGAAUAAUAGGUCUCUUUCUUUACAUCAUAUUUUUUAUGUGUAUGGAUGUUUUGCUUGCAUGUAUGUCUGCCCUCAGAUGCCAGAAGAGAGUAUAGAAUUCCCUAGAACUGGAGUUACAGACUAUUGUUAACUGCCAUUAGGUACUGGGAAUUGAACAAGGGUCUACUGGAGAAAUAGGCAGUACUCUGAACAGCUGAGUUCUCUCUCCAGCUCCCUCUUUCCCUUCCUUCACUAGCUUUGUGGACCAGACUGGCUGUGAACUUGCAGCAAUCCUGAGUCAGUGCCUUCUCUCCUUAAGUGCUACGACAACAUAUACGCACCCUUGGAAUCUAUAUGAUUUCAUUGUGACAUUUCAAAUGUGUAUGUUGUGCUUUGCUGAGAGUCACUCCUACUAUUACUACCUCUUGUCCCCUUUUCUCCUCUCUGAUGGCUUCCCUUCUCCCCUCAAAUAGCCCCACUUCUGCUUUCAUGUCUUGUGUAUAUUGUUAAAUAUCUCAUUUGAAUUCUUCUUACCAAAGAAAACAUACUUGUCUGAGUCUGCCUUAUUUUGGUUAAUAUGAUGUUCUCCAGUUUCACCCAUUUUUUUUCUAAAAAUGCCAUAGAUUUGUUGUUGUUCUUUAUAACUGAAUGAAUUUCCAUUGUAUAUAUAUUCCACAUAAUUAAAAUACAUUCAUCU
rnacentral:lncRNA from 1 species